AAGAAAUUAGUUAAUUUAUAACAUUAGUAUGUCAUACUGAAAUUAUUAAAUACUUAAUAUUUCUUG
rnacentral:tRNA from 1 species